CGCCAAUCUGUUCUUUUACUUUAUCGAACGGUAAACAAUUCUGUUGUUGCUUUGUAUAUUUGUUACACAUAUUUAAUGAGUUACUUAUAAUACUGAUGGUAUUUCAUGGAAGAAUUCUGCGACGUCCCAAGAAUGAUUAAUAUCUUACGAAAAGAUCGAUGGAUCACCUCACCGCGGGGACUUCGUAAUACGCCUUAAUGAACUCUAAUGGAAUUCAAUCGGCAGUCCUCGAGAACUUCAACCCGAGCGACACAUUUGUGUUGCGAAUACCUGGCCCAUAUAUUGCCAGGGUUGUGCAUAGAGUACAGUGCUUAUGAUAGAUCAUCCUGACAAUGGAGCCAGCUUCGCAAUACCUACGUCAACAUCAUAAAUAGCUGUAUAUGAACAAGAGCGUCGUCACCAAUCAUCAAUACACUACAAAGAUUACGUGACGCGAUGAUGUUCUUAGCACGCUGCACAUGAAAUUAAUGGGGAGAAGCUACUUCUUAAGAGCGAAGAUAAGUUGAUCGGAUUUGAAGAUAAUCACAAGUUUAACGUUGGGAAGUUGACUUGAAAGAAUUUGCCUUUGAGAGGAGUUGCUUGAAGACGAUAGUAUCGUCGUAGAGACGAUAUCGAGGAGUUAUCCAAUGGAGCCAAGAAUGAAUCUAAUUUCGUGCAAGGUUCGAUAGAAAGGAAAAUUCUAAGGAAAGUUAUCAGAACUCGUGCGAAUACUCUCCUCAAAUCGACGUAAUAGCAUGGAGAAACCACGCAAUCUACCCGAAGAAUGUAUAUAUGCAUACAGCCACGCAAUUUGCUGCCACGCCACCCAUACAACCAGUACAUGCUAAUGGAAAUAAUUCCACGACUUCCCCUCGAACUUAUUUCUUUACAGAAGACAGAUUUGACUAAUUCAUAGUGGAUAUAACUGGUCUGUAAGAUUCGGGAUGCUGCAUCGGAAGAAUUAAAUAGGUUGAAUUCCGCCUGUCGAUUGAACCUGGAUAAAACCUCUGUUUUGGAGCCAACAUAAUAGCUGUUCUAAAACUUUCGAAUGGCGAUAAAAAAAGUGAAAAGUGAAAAGUUAGUGAAUGAUUAAAUGCAAAUUAAGGCAGAAUAAAUCAUCACGUGCCUACAAAAGACAAUUUAUCACACGAAGUAUUUAAUUAAUAAAGACCAGUACCUCUGCAGGUUGUCAAUCAAACACUUGACGCAAUUAAGACUCUGAAGAUCAAGAGGAGCCCUAGGUAACAUAGAACCCCUAGGUAGUGAACUCAUACUCCUCGAGGGUGUAACUUUUUAAACCUUCAACGCGAGGCGCUUAUCCAUUUACAUAUUCUUUUGAGCGCGAGGUGAAAUAGCUGUAACCUACUCUGAUUCUAUAAAAGGCGAAAAGAAUCUAAUCAACAGAUUUACUUGUCAAAAAGUUCAAAAAGGUAAUGGAAAUUUUUAUGGAAACGUACAUUUCGCGUCAAGAUGCUUCGCAUAGGAUUGAAAUAACCGAUCUUCCGUUUCUGUUAUGACAAAAUAUAAUUUAGAAGAUUACGCAGUUAGAAUAUUCUGACAAAUUCAAAAUGAAAAUGAGGAUCGAAAAGAUAUCGAGAAUUUUAAUUAAUGCUUUUAGAAAUCACGAAAGAUCAUCUGCUUCGUUUUUAUGUUAAACAGUUUGCCAAAUUUAAACCACAAUAACGGUCAAUAUAUUCUGUAUUCGCUUCGAUAUUAUAUUAAUGUAUACGCGUUUGAAAUAAUGUUGAAAUUGUAUUGUCUAUUUAAUCAACUGAUUGCGAAAGCAUUUGCAUGCUGAAUUCAAAUAAUGCUUCGGUAAUACAUUAAAUGAACACGGUACAGACAUCUUAUUGCUCAAAUAUAACUUGCUAAAAUUGAUUUCUUGCUUUCGCUUUUAAUGUAAUUCCUCGCAAUAUAUUUAAUAGAAACCGAGUUUAUUAAUAAGUUUAGUAGUAAUUAUAAGUUUUUAAGUUCGAAUGCAGGACUAAGGAAUCUA